rnacentral:rRNA from 1 species
GUGUCAGCCGCCGCGGUAAUACGGAGGAUGCAAGCGUUAUCCGGAAUGAUUGGGCGUAAAGAGUCCGUAGGUGGCUUUUCAAGUCUAUUGUUAAAGCGCGAGGCUUAACCUCGUGAAGGCCGUAGAAACUGAAAAGCUUGAGAGCAGUAGGGGCAGAAGGAAUUCCUGGUGUAGCGGUGAAAUGCGUAGAGAUCAGGAAGAACACCGGUGGCGAAAGCGUUCUGCUGGGCUGCAACUGACACUGAGGGACGAAAGCUAGGGGAGCGAAUGGGAUUAGAUACCCUCGUAGUCC